rnacentral:RNase_P_RNA from 1 species
UGAGUGUUUGACUCGGUCGCGAGAUUUUUUAAUCUCGAGGAAAGUCCGGGCUUCAUAGGGCAGAGAGUAGGAGAAAUUCCUGCGAGUGCAAGCUUAGGGAAAGCGCCACAGAAAGGUAAACCGCAGCGCAAGCUGUAAGGAUGAAAAGGCGGGGUAAGAGCCCACCGGCGGAGUAAGACCCGCGCAUGGUAAGCCCCUCUCGAAGCAAGGUCGAAUAGGAGAGAGUGACACAGUCACAGCUGUUGCCCGCAGUUCUCUCGGGUACGACCGCUUGUCGAGGUGUGCAAGCACCUUGCUAGAUAAAUGACCGAUACAUACAAAACUCGGCUUAUUGAACGCUCACAAA